UUGCAAUGAUGGUAAUAAUUUUUCGUCAACAGUAUAUCACCUUGCGGUGUAUGUUGAUAAGCUUGUGUCUGAGCGA